GCUCACAGCAGGCUUAUGGAAGGAAGGUUACUCCAUUUUAUGACUGACAAACCAGAGACACAGGCAGUUGAGUAAUUGUCCAGACAGGCUGCAGAUUCAAAUCACUUCAAUGUGGUUUGAGAGGUGAGAGGAAAGAGAGGAAAGGAGGGAGGAGCCCUGCUGGCUGGAUUCAGGCUUCGUGGCUGAGGCUGGGGAACUGGAAGAUAAAACUAAAAAUAGAAGCUGGAUCUUACAUGCCAUGGGCAUUUGCUAUUAGAUCCCUGUGCAAGGAUUGUCCCUCCCUACCUCAGGGCAUCCUGUCUCGAAAACCUCUCCUCUUGACUCUUUCACACACACACUCAGGACUGAGAGCGGCUGCUGUCAGCUAUAGACACAAGAAAGUGCCCAGGACAUCCCUUGUCUCUCCCGG
ensembl:lncRNA